GAUUAGACAUGUGUACCGGUGUACGCGUGUGAAUUAAAGUAUAUAAUGAGUUUUUUGAGGGACAAAGGAGUGGUUGAUGACAGGGGAGUAAAUUAAGUGUACUUUAGAUUAACGGAUGAAAUAAAUAAGAAAAAGUGGUUUCCCAUGAACCAAUGUACUUUCCACGUUGAACAUUAGUUUAAAUCUAUAAGAAAAUCGACAUAUCCUUAAAAUUCUAAUCGAGAUCUAACUGUGUUCAAUCAACAACGUUAAAAUGUUCAAAGGUUUUGUCG
rnacentral:lncRNA from 1 species